rnacentral:lncRNA from 1 species
GCUCGUUGCAUCACUCUCCAUCUUCUCCUCCAUCCAUGCUCGAGGUAGAAUUCCUUCAAUCUGUAGAGAUGGGAUUAGACUCAUGAGUUGAAAAACUCAAUAAGUGUCAUAGGUACAUUCGUGAUCAACCUAUACAUUUCAAAACAUUAACUUUAUAACUUUUUAUACAUGCCGUACCCGGAAGCACCAUUUGACAUGAAGGGGUAUGUCGUACCCGAGGGCACCAUUUGACAUACGAACAUUUCUUCAACAUAGAGGGGUAUGCCGUACCGGAGUACCAUUUGACAUACAACCAUUAACAUAGAGGGAUAUGUCGUACCGGAGUACCAUUUGACAUACAAACAUUAGCAUGAAUCGAAACUUAUAACUUAACAUGAUUAAACACAUUGCAUCUCUACCUACCUUGAUUGAUACUUUUGAAACUUUGAAAACUUGGAUUGAAAAUUUCGAUGAAACUUGGACGUUGAAAGAAAUGCACUCAUUGGAUGUUUGAAAAUCGUUGAGAAUUGAUGCUUGGAAACACUUUUUAAACUUCUAGGAAAAAUAGUUUUCCUCCCUCUCUUUUUCUCUCUUGGAAACUCUUUCUUUAGUAUGUAAAAACUCUUGCUUUUGGUGUGAGAAAAAAUGAGUGAAAUGAGGUCUCUAUUUAUAGGUAAAUAUUCCAUAACUUAAAGCAAAUAAAGGAUCAAAUUUCGUUUAAGAGAGAAAACAUGGGUGCCAUUUAAGUUUGAGGUUAAAUGUUUCAAUUUAGUGGGGUUUUUUAUUGCCAAAAACGUGGGUGGCCUUUUGAGAAAAUAAUUGAUGAAAAUAAAUAUUUAAAUUCUAGAGAAAAACGAGAAUUUUCAUUUAAGGCAGUUUCGGUUGACCGGUUGUAGUCCGGUUGACACUGCACAGUUUUCAGUAUUUCUAUCAUAACUUCUUCUCCCGAUAUCCGAUUGAGGUAAUUCAAAGUGCGUUGGAAAGCUAACUCAAAGAGCUACAACUUUUAUUCAGAUAUGAUUUUCCAAAUCGAAUGUUUCCUAUGUCGAAAAUGAGUCUCAAAUGAGACUAAAAAUCUGAAGUAUACUUUAGUCAUCCAAUAUUCAUGUUUUAGUGCCACUAAGGUGUCUAGAAUUAUUUGGGGUUCCACAUGACGUCGUUGGAUUGGAGAUGGGUGACGACGACACUUCUUCUACUGGCUUCACUCCGGCACUGAUGGUCUCAUUUUUUCCCCUAAUUGUUGAGGCCGUGGUUGAGAUGUGAGAAUAGAUAGAGAGAGAAGUGAGGUAAUUUAAGUUAAUUUAGAGAGAGAAGUAAUGUUUAAUUAUUAUUAUUAUUAUUAUUAUUAUUAUUAUUAUUAUUAAUAUAUAUUAAUAAAAAGUUCUGAUUGUGAAAUACUAAACAUGCCAUCUGAUUCAUGAAAUGGGAAUUUCAAAUCUAUUAGAAUAUGUAAUUUCCACUUAAAAAUAGUACUCGGUUGUCCAACUGCAGCAGAUUUUUAAUUCUUUCUUUUUUUGUUCAAAAGAAGUGGGAAAAAUCUGAAUCGAUGAGACCACCUAAAAAGGGGAGAAACUUGUGUUGCGAUUAAGCGCACAAUUAUGUGCAAACAUGGCAUAAAAUUGUCUAUGAUACAAUGACUUUAUAUUCUCACCCACAAGACUACGAAGUAGACUACCCAAAGAGUGAGUCACUUUGUGUAAACAACAGUAAAAUCCAAUCGACAAAUCCAACAAACAUAUAACUAUAUACAUACAUGCAUACGUUAUAAAUACACACAGAGAGAUAGAUACUUGGGAGUUCCCAUCUUCAUUUUCUUGGUUCUUGAUAAAAAAUAAAAAAAAAAACCUUUGUCGAAGCUUUGUCGAAUCGCUUUGGCGCUAGGCAAUGGUUAAUUCUUAUACCAGCCACUAAGAAAGUGCGGCAAUUACAUUAAUAUCCCUACCUUAUUCGGUUCCAUGUCGCAAUUCCAAGGGUUUUCCUAAAGGGCUUGCUGUUUUUCUUCAUUUCAUUUUACACCAUAAAAAUUUGUAAGAGUGUGCUUGAUUGCAAGGAAUUUGAAUGAAUAGUUUUAUACGUUCGUCAAAGUUGAUAAUAUAUUGUUGCGAAACCAUUGAAUGACUCUUUUGUAAAGAAAAUUGGUUGACACAAUCGCAAUAAUGAAAUAUAUAUUUCUUGUAAAUUUCAUUUUAUAUAAUUUCAAGAUGUCUAUGUUCAACACUUUUUACUUGUAGUUAUUAUUUUUGGUUUUUUACUUAUAUUUUUGUUGAACAAGUGAUCCCCUGAAUUUUUACAGUCAACACAUACAUAUUAGUCAACAUAUGACGGGAUUUGCAUGUGCAACUAAUAAAACUUAUAAGUCUUAGAAUAUUAAAAUUUUCGACCUGGAAGUGUGCGGGCUUUUCAUGUGUUACAAAACUUGUAGUCGAUUUUUGUAGACUAGCAAGAUGCAAUUUACUUGGGCAUCAUUUUUUAUUCAUAAAAUUCUAAAUCAAAAACUUGGAAUGGGUCGAUACUUUCGAUUAAGGAUGUCAAAACCAGCCAUAUCGAUUAUGUAGGUAGGUAGCUCGAUCUAUGUAAGGGCUUUAAUUGACACGAUCCUUAUAUGAUCUAUGAUAUUUUAUUUGAUACUUGUUCAUUUGAAUUUAUUAUUAUUAUUAUUAUUUUUAAAUAUGAAAAGCGGCUAUGCAAAUUCGGGCUUAAAGGUUUAACUCACAAGGUUUUUGCUCUGAUGAACUCUCAAAACAAUUUAUUAGGAAAAAAAUAACAAAAUAUAAUGUUUAUCUAGUUGAGAAACAUGUAUGAAAAUAUAGAUAAAAUCAAGCAAACAAAACUUUGAAUCUAAUUACAUUAUAUAUAAUGUUUAUUCAAUUGGGUGACCCAAUUUUGGCUACUUGCCUCUCGAAAUUUCUUGGAAAAUAAUAAUCUAACCAAAUCAUAGCCAAUUCAUAACUGCUGUAAACAACAUCACAUAAAGUAAUUUGAUACAUUACACAACAAUCUUUGAUGUUAUUAUUUGAGAAGCCUUUAAAAAAGUUAAUUAGACCCCUCAAAUGCUCAUCACACUCUGAACGACUUGAUCUAACAAAUCGAUACUAGAUUUAUUGAUAAUAAGAUUUAAUUUUACAUAUAACAGUCUUUAUCAAAUAACUAGUACAUCAGACCGUACCUUGAUUUAAUUUGAUUUCUUAAUCGGAACCAAGCUUGCGGUCGAGGAAGUAAUCGCUUUGGUGUUGAUGGUGGUGAUUUUGGGCUGUUUUGGCUCGUCUGAUUCAUCGGUAUUUCGGGAUUUCACCAGAGGGAUUUGCUGUUGAGUAGCAAUGUCUCGGCCGGCGAACUUUUGAGGAGGAAAGAAGAAAUCAGUGGGGAAGAAUUUGUACUGAAGUCCAGCCAUGGGUGUAUAGAAAUGAGAUAUUUG